rnacentral:RNase_P_RNA from 1 species
GCGGAUGGCUGGAUGACCGCGUGUGGGUCCUGCCCGCGCGAGGAAAGUCCGGACUCCAGGAGGCGACGGUGCCGGGUAACGCCCGGGCGGGGCAACCCGACGGAAAGCGCCACAGAAAACAGACCGCCCCGGCCUGUCCGGGGUAAGGGUGAAACGGUGGAGUAAGAGCCCACCGGGGCUCUGGCAACAGGGCCCGCAUGGCAAGCCCCACCGGGAGCAAUGCCGAAUAGGGGAUCCACCGGCAGCUUCCGCCAGGAUCCCGGGUAGGCAGCUAGAUCCGUCCGGCAACGGGCGGGGCAGAUGAAUGGUCAUCCAGUGUCUUUCGGGACAUGGACAGAAUCCGGCUUACAGGCCGUCCGCGCGC